CGUCUAUAUACGUAUAGCAUAUCAAUAAGCGGAGGAAAAGAAACUAACAAGGAUUCCCUUAGUAACGACGAGUGAAGCGGGAAGAGCUCAAAUUUGAAAUCUUCAAGGUUCUACCUUGACGAAUUGUAGUUUAUAGAAGUGUUUUCUGUUAGUGGAGUGGCAAAAGUUCUUUGGAAUAGGACAUCAUAGAGGGUGAGAAUCCCGUAUUUGGUCAUUCCUCCUAGCGUUGUGAUACACUUUCAACGAGUCGGAUUGUUUGGGAAUGCAGUCCAAAAUGGGUGGUAAAUUUCAUCUAAAGCUAAAUAUUGGCGAGAGACCGAUAGCGAACAAGUACCGUGAGGGAAAGAUGAAAAGAACUUUGAAAAGAGAGUUAAACAGUACGUGAAAUUGUCAAAAGGGAAGCGUUUGACACCAGUGUUGUUUUCUCGAAAAUCAAUUAAAAAAUGGUUGGAUUUUGUGUUGUAUUGACCUUAACAGCUUGCUUCACUCUUUUCCUGCUUUUUUUAAUGCACUUUUCGUUUAACAAGUCAACAUCAAUUUCUUUUGUUGUAAAAGGGUCAUUGGAAGGUGGCUUUCUUUUCGGAGAAAGUGUUUAUAGCCUUUGACUUCUGCAAUCGGAGAGACUGAGGUCUGCAGCGUAGAUCCUUCUUGGAUUAGAUUCAUUUGUGCUAAGUUACAACCGUUUAUAGACAACUUGUUGACUAUAUUCGAUCCUGUAGCUUACUCGCUUAUGUAAUUUUACCUACGCUUAGGAUGUUGACUGAUAUGUAGUCGUA
rnacentral:rRNA from 1 species